rnacentral:lncRNA from 1 species
UAGGAGCCUUUGGGACAGGUAGGCUUUCAGGAACAGAAACUGAAUCCUGAAUUCAACAGCUGUUGUCAGAUUUUGUUCAAGAUCCAUAAUCUGCUUGGAUCUGCUUUUUCUUCCCUUUAUCACAGAUGUUAUCUGGGCCUGUCUGUUAGAGAAUCCAGUCAUGAGAGAACAAGGUUGUGCAAACCCAGCAGUAGCCCAGCCAGUGCAAAGCAGUUGAAUGAGUCACAGCCUUUGCGGCAUACAGUGGAUGCAAUUGGAGAUUCAUGUUCACACCAAGAAAUGCAGCCUUGUUCUAUACUUGCUGACAACUGGAGACAGAGAAAUUAAAGGCAACUGUUGCUCCAGGAGCCCAUACUGUGUGCUUCAGUCUACCCAAGAGGAACAAAGACGGAUGAGGGCAGAGGGCAGAAGAGGCAUCAGUGACAGAAGACAUCAGAGGGCCACUCCUAGUUGCAUCUGA